GAGAAAUUGAUAAGUGCGCCGCCUGCGGAGUACGCUCGCAAGGCUAAACCUCAAAGGAAUUGCCGGGGGCUCACACAAGCGGUGGAGCAUGUUGCUUAAUUCGAAGCAACGCGACGAACCUUACCCGGGUUUGACAUGCACGGAUCAACUCUAUGAAAGUAGAGCCACGCCCUCGGGUGGAACGUGCACAGUUUCUGCAUGGCAGUCGUCAGCCCGUGCUGUGAAGUGUCGGUGUUAAGUCCCUUAACGAGCGCAACCCUUGUCGCUAGUUGAUAACACGUAAUGGUGAGGACUCCAGCGAGUCUGCCGUCGUCAAACCGGAGGAAGGUGGGGAUGACGUCAAGUCGUCAUGGCCCCUACGUCCGGGGUUCCAAACGUGGUACAAUGGCGUGUACAGACAGACGCAAGACCGCGAGGUGGAGCAAAUCGCAAAAAGCACGCCCCAGUUGGGAUUGCAGGCUGCAACUCGCCUGCAUGAAGUUGGAAUCGCUAGUAAUCGGAGAUCAGCUACGCUCCGGUGAAUACGUUCUUGACCCUUGUACACACCGCCCGUCAAGUCAUGGAAGCUGGUAGCGCCCGAAGUCGCCUCGAGUCAGGGGCCCCUACGGCGAGAUCGGUGACUGGGAGUAAGUUGUAACAAGGUACCCGUAGGAGAACCUGCGGCUGGAUCACCUCCUU
rnacentral:rRNA from 1 species